UCAUUCAGUAUCAUGGCUGUGCCUCGCGA
rnacentral:sRNA from 1 species